rnacentral:rRNA from 1 species
UACGUAGGGGGCAAGCGUUGUCCGGAUUUAUUGGGCGUAAAGAGCGUGUAGGCGGCUUUGCAAGUCCGUUGUGAAAACUCGAGGCUCAACCUCGAGACGCCGGUGGAAACCAUCAGGCUAGAGUCCGGAAGAGGAGAGUGGAAUUCCUGGUGUAGCGGUGAAAUGCGCAGAUAUCAGGAAGAACACCAAUGGCGAAGGCGGGUCUCUGGGCCGAAACUGACGCUGAGGAGCGAAAGCGUUGGGAGCGAACAGG